CCUACGGGAGGCAGCAGUCGGGAAUAUUGCGCAAUGGAGGAAACUCUGACGCAGCGACGCCGCGUGCAGGAAGAAGGUUUUCGGAUUGUUAACUGCUUUAUACAGGGAAGAAAAAAGACAGUACCUGUAGAAUAAGCUCCGGCUAACUACGUGCCAGCAGCCGCGGUAAUACGUAGGGAGCGAGCGUUAUCCGGAUUUAUUGGGUUUAAAGGGUGCGUAGGCGGGCUUUUAAGUCAGCGGUAAAGCUUCGGGGCUCAACCCCGUCCGGCCGUUGAAACUGGGGGCCUUGAGUGGGCGAGAAGAAGGCGGAAUGCGUGGUGUAGCGGUGAAAUGCAUAGAUAUCACGCAGAACCCCGAUUGCGAAGGCAGCCUUCCGGCGCCCUACUGACGCUGAGGCACGAAAGUGCGGGGAUCGAACAGGAUUAGAUACCCUUGUAGUC
rnacentral:rRNA from 1 species